rnacentral:rRNA from 1 species
UACGAAGGGGGCUAGCGUUGUUCGGAAUCACUGGGCGUAAAGGGCGCGUAGGCGGCCGAUCAAGUCGGGGGUGAAAGCCUGUGGCUCAACCACAGAAUUGCCUUCGAUACUGGUUGGCUUGAGACCGGAAGAGGUAAGUGGAACUGCGAGUGUAGAGGUGAAAUUCGUAGAUAUUGGGAGGAACACCGGUGGCGAAGGCGGCUACCUGGACAGUGACUGACGCUGAGGCGCGAAAGCAUGGGUAGCAAACAGG